GAGUGCCCUAAUUUCUAGCUUCUAACAGUAUUUUUGUGCUUGUUGCAAAGUGUCAUAGGAUUUCAGUGCCCUAAUUUCUUGCGAAGUGUCAAUUUUUUGUGCUUAUUCUCUUAAAGACACUGGUUUUUAAAAAUAUUUGCUAUUACUUGAUAACAUAUGAAUAGCUUUAUUUAUUGAUAAAAAGAGGAAGAAGAAGAAACGUUCUACAAGAAAUAGAAGACAAGAAAAGUUUUUGAGUUUUUGGUUGACAAGGUAAACUGCUCUAAUCAUUCAUGUUUAAUGGCUAUUGGUAAAAAUCAUAUGAUGAGUGUAAAGAAAAAUCAGGUUUAUUGACUGAUGAGUGUAAUGUUAAUACAAGUUGCGAUCCUAAAGUCACGAUAAGCUUAACUGGAAUUCGCGAAAAAUUGGGAGGUUUGGUUAAUGUAUAGAGACAAUAUGAUUGCAUAAAUGGUACAUUGUUGAAUGUUGGUUAACCCUCUAUUUAAUCACUUUUAAUCCCCUCAAUGCAGUAAUAUCUAAGCUCUGUUAGGGCUUAAAGAUCAGAGUGCAAAUAAAAGUGCGAGGUUCAAUUAAAAAAAAGCGCAGAGAAAAAAUGCAAAUAUUUAUGUUUAGUCCAAGAUUAAUAAUUAUAAGCAUGAACGACUAAUAUGUGAAUAAAGAAAUUGAAAAAUAAUUACGACAAAGUCAAAUAUCAAUUGUUUAGUGUCACCUAUUCAAAGAGAUCCAUUGGCAAGGAAAAGUAUGCCUUAAAAACUUGACGACGAUAGUGAAGCACACAUAUAGCUAGGUGAAGCACUCAACACAUUUUAAGCCUCUCAUCGGGUAUUAAGCAUGCCUUUGAUAACACUGCCUCAAUGUGAUGAAUACGUCAUGCCAGAUGAAGAUGAUAUUCUAUGGCUCUAAUAAUCAGCUCAAGAAGAUGCUUAAAAGCUGUUGUGUGAGCUUUAUGGGGGAGCUUGAAGUGAUGUAGUGCUUUGACGAGAAACAAGACAUUGUUUAAUCUCUUUAAGCUCUUAAAUUAUGGUUUUGAAGAGAAGAGUUGAUCCAUUUUGACAUACAAAUGAAAUGUCGGGUGCCAUCAUUUGAUUGUGAAACACAUUGGUAACAAUGGAGGCUUUACACUUCCGGAUCAGUGAGCUAGGCGAAGUGUCUACAUCAACUAAAACUGUUGAUCUCUUUGUAAUAGGCAUUUCAAAAAGUUCUUAAAGCUUAUGCAACAAAGCUCUUCGCUAGAUUGCCAAAGGGCGGUACAGGAAUUGUUGCAGCUGCCACUGGAAUCGAAGGACAGAUAAAGACUUCGAACAAGGAUGAAAAGGUUAUCUGCUGCAUAGUAAAUACUGCAGAGUGUUGUCACAAAACGGUCAGUUCUCCCUUGUAUGGGUGAUUUAUGUAUUAAAUUUAAUAACAUAUCCAGUACUAUGUACUAAAUUGGAAUCCCUUUAACCAAUGAUGGAAAACGUGCAGAACCAUGCGACCUUCUUUAGUGCAUUUUUGAGUUGGUAAAGGUUAAUGAGAUUUAAAUAUAAGCCAAGGUGAUGAGGAACAGUCGUCAUGGAAAUUCACAAAGAAAUUUCCAAAUAAUGUCAUUUUUUUGUUGUCUCCUCAAACUCACACCAAACUUCUUUUUAUCGUGUUUACAUUUUAGCAGUGGGAAGAAUUGGCUGAUAAUGUGUCAAAAUUGAUUGAUGCUCAAUUUGAGGAUAGGGUUGAUAUGUUUGAAGUACAGGUAGAACAUGCUUAUAUAGUUUCACUGCUUAGUGUUAAAUACAUUUUCAGGAUGAAUUUUCAGCAGUCGUUAUAAAAUCAUUGAUUACAUUAGUGCUGGAAUAGAAACAAAGUUUGACUCUGAAAUGGCGGCGAUGAGUCGGGUUCCAUGGAGCACUCUUGAAAGUGUUGUUGAUUAGUCAGAGUAUGUUUACUAUGUCGUACAUUGGCACCUUCAAACAGAAAUACGUCAAUGGCAUAAAUUUGAUCCUUACGAGUAUCCAUGACAUUAUUGUAUAUGCUUUUGGAUACACAAGCAGUAAAGACUAUUUUGCUGGAAAUUCCUUCUCUUCUCUGGGAAAACAAGUAAGAUUGCAAGCAUUUCAGAAGUGUGGAUCCUUCAUUGUUUGUUCUUCUUUUUUGUUUCUUCUGUUUUAAUAAAUUUUAGGCUGAUAUUUUUCACUAGCACUGUCAUCCUCAUUAACAUUUCCAUUUCUAUACUUUAGGGCAACCACAUGUUUAAACUUUAUUCUUGAGGUAAUUUGUAGUUUUGAUAAAUAAAGUGGCUCAUAGCUGAAACUGAAUAUGAUUGAUCCUAGAAAGCAAAAUAGGCAAAGAUGACCGACGCUCAUUUGAAAUAUUCAGUUUCCUGAUGAAUAUGAAAAUACACUGCUAUAGAAAAACAGUAAUAAUAUCUCUAAAUCCUUCUCCUCCAUCAGUAUUUUGUGCACUGGGGUCAUUUUUGCUAGAUUUGUAACUUCACGAGAUAGGAGACUUCAAACUGAUGUACUUAACAAUAUCUGUCUUUCUGUCCUUUUAUUUUAAAUAUUAGAACUGCGACUAUUUGAUAGGACUGAAUGAGGUGGCAGACCGUGCUAGUAUAUGCAGCUCAUGUCCUUUAUUUGAUCUUUCUCGAGAUGGCAAAUAAUUCCUGAUUUUCAGUUCUGGGUUGUUUUUUGAUCUCACUUGAAGUUUGCUGCCAAAUAUGAGUUUCCAUCCCCUCCAAGGCGCACUCAACAGGAGCAACUAUUGCAUUGGCACUCAACAGGGGCCCAGCCCCUCGUGCCUGCAUAUCUGUCACCUUGGUUUCAUGAUUUGCAAGAGAGUUUACUUUUUGAUACCUUGUUUGAUCAUAAUAGUGUGAUAUGCUCCAUUGCUAUGCACUCCCCUGUAAUUACUAUUUUACUAUCUCUUCUGAUAUGUAGAUCUUUUCUAAGUAACUACCAUAAACUGGACCCUAGCAGCUGGAUUGGAAGUAUUUGGUUGAAUUCCUUUUUUUAUUUGUGUUUGUUGUAGAAUUUAGUAAGAAUUAUUUCCUUAUCCCUGCUUCUGUCUAGGAAGGGACAGCGCCAACUGGUUAUUUUUUAUAGCUCCUUGUAUUCAUUUCAUGGAAUCAUUUUAACACAAUGACGUACUACAGGCUUAUUCCACUGUUGGGACACUUGAUUACAUUGCACUGGAGGUUUUAUUGAAGAAAGGAUUUGAAUGUGAAUGUGAUUGAUGGUCACUUGGUGCGAUCAUGUAUGAGAUGCUCGUGGGAUAUCCACCAUUCUAUUUUGAUGAGCCUAUGUCUGCCUGUAGAAAGGAUUUGAAAGGAAAAGUUGUAAUGUCUGGGAAGUCCAUUUGAGACAGGUGUCCAAAAUGAAAAAAGAGAUGAAGAAAGUGAUGAAGACAUUAACUUAUCGCGACUCGAACUUGCUACUAUAUAAAAAAAAUUAUUAGCUUGUUGCAUAUUUUGGAUUAUGAGAUUAUUAAUAAAUGAUUUUGUUUUGUGAUGUA